UACGGAGGGGGUUAGCGUUGUUCGGAAUUACUGGGCGUAAAGCGCGCGUAGGCGGAUUACUAAGUGAGAGGUGAAAUCCCGGGGCUCAACCCCGGAACUGCCUUUCAUACUGGUAAUCUUGAGUUCGAGAGAGGUGAGUGGAAUUCCAAGUGUAGAGGUGAAAUUCGUAGAUAUUUGGAGGAACACCAGUGGCGAAGGCGGCUCACUGGCUCGAUACUGACGCUGAGGUGCGAAAGUGUGGGGAGCAAACAGG
rnacentral:rRNA from 1 species